rnacentral:lncRNA from 1 species
CCUUAUCCUAGGAUGAAGAGGGUCAAGACCCAAGACCUUGAAUUUUGUGGAGUGGUAUCUGAAUGUUUCAAAGUGGAAGUGCUAGAGGAAGUGGUAAAAGACGGGAAAUAAGAGUGAGAUCAUGAGAUUGAAAUUUUUCUUCAAAACUUGGAUAACCCCCUAGAAGAGGAGAAAGAGCCAAAGGCAAUAAAAAAGCCACCGGAAUUGAAAGAACUUCCUCCUAAAUGGAAGUAUGUGUUUUUGGGUGGCGACUCUAGGAAACCCAUGAUCAUAAGUGAUUUGCUCACUCCACUAGAAGAGAAUGACUUGUUAAAAGAAGCGGAGAAAGUGAAUUACGACCUAGGAUGAGACUUGGAUGGUGUGGUUCCUAUCUAUUGUUUGUACAAGGUGACCAAAGAAGAAGAGCUCAAUCCGGUUGUUAAUCCUCAAAAGUCUUCCACUUCAACAUUGAAAGCUUC